GACGAACGCUGGCGGCGUGCUUAACACAUGCAAGUCGAACGGAAAGGCCCUGCUUGCCGGGUACUCGAGUGGCGAACGGGUGAGUAACACGUGGGUGAUCUGCCCUGCACUUCGGGAUAAGCCUGGGAAACUGGGUCUAAUACCGGAUAGGAGCCAUUUUUAGUGUGAUGGUUGGAAAGUUUUUUCGGUGUAGGAUGAGCUCGCGGCCUAUCAGCUUGUUGGUGGGGUAAUGGCCUACCAAGGCGGCGACGGGUAGCCGGCCUGAGAGGGUGGACGGCCACAAUGGGACCGAGGAACGGCCCAGACUCCUACGGGAGGCAGCAGUGGGGAAUAUUGCACAAUGGGCGCAAGCCUGAUGCAGCGACGCCGCGUGGGGGAUGACGGCCUUCGGGUUGUAAACUCCUUUCGCUAGGGACGAAGCUUUUUGUGACGGUACCUAGAGAAGAAGCACCGGCUAACUACGUG
rnacentral:rRNA from 1 species